UCAGCCUGGUAGAGUGCGCGGCUGUAGAAUGGUUUACCGCUAUCGGUAACUGCGCGGCUACCGCGAUGUCCCCGGUUCGAAUCUGGGAGGCGGGA
rnacentral:tRNA from 1 species